AGAAUAUUGAUUCAGCGUGUGAAAAUGAAAAAUUGUUUUGUAGUUAUUACGAUGCUGGUGACAAUAUUUCUAACGAUGUUGUCGACUGAAGGUCAUCCAACCGGCAAAGCAAGAAAAGCCGGAAACGCCGUGACAAAAGAAUGGAUUGCUCUAACUAAUUCAACUCCGACUUUCAGUACUCCGACUGGAAGCACUGUUACGCGUAGUCUUGCUGGUACCAAAGCCACACAAGCUGCAACGAAACCUCCACCAACACCCAAUACAUUUAGAACAACUACGAAGAAAACCCCACGAGGGUAAAUGGAAAACCGGAUCCUCCAAACCCUACUUAACCGAUUACUAAUACCACACAUAACUUCAACUCUCAAGUCCUUUUCUUUAAGCACUUAACGGUCUUGUUGUAGUGUCUUUCUACCGAACAAUAGUAAACAAAUGGAUUCUUCUUCAAACAUAUUUGUUGAUUUACCUCACAAACAGAAGAUUUCGCGACAAAUACUUACAAAUCCACCUACCAUGCUAAAGGAAACACCUUUGCGGUCGUUCAAAUAAAGCUUACCAACAAACAUUGCGAAUCUUUCGCCGAUCGUCGUCGAUCAGACGAAUCUUUGAGUUACAACCUUCGUAUUUUUGUGACUUUUACUUCGUUCAUUGACUGGAAAUCUGUUGCUAUGCUUUAUGAAAUGAUGGCAUCCACUAUUCCACGAGUUUGUAUGUAUAUGUGACAUUGACAUUGCAAGACGUUCGCAAAUCUCUAAACAUUUGCACAAAUGUUUUCACGGUGAAACAGCUUAGACUAUAUAAUCCAAGUGCUUCAAUGCUGGUUGUGUAGCAAAGAAAAGUUCUACACGGUAGGACUAUCACCUAAGUGCAAGAAGAUGAAGAAUCUGAUGGUGGUACUCACCACCAUGAUGGUGACAAUAUUUCUAACCAUGAUGUUGGCUGAAGCAGGUCGAAGCCCCGUUACAAAAGAAUGGGUUGUUAACACUCAACGAAGCACAACGAUGGCUCCGCCAACAAGCCAAGCCAUGAUGCCACCUACACAGAACCCGGGUGUUAAAACUCCCCGGCCUCCGCCAACAGAUCAUGCUUGAAAAUCUACCACACCAAGAAGCUCUCCUAAGCGGAGGUUCUACUUUUUAAAUCACAAUACUAUUCGCAAUGUUUCUUUUGCAGCUGUUCAAAUAAACCUAAUAAACCAUUCGAAAAUGGACACAAUUCAGAA